rnacentral:lncRNA from 1 species
UCCUUGUAGAGUGUGGCCUUUCAAGGUGCUGUAUGUACACUGGCUGCAGAUUCUCUUACACAAGUGCUGUGCACUCACAUGACCUUUAUGUACUCAGAUGACCUAUAUGUUCUUAGUAAUGUACAAUAUUAUAGCUAUAUUAUAAUCCUCAUUGUUUUACGUAAAGACAGAGUCGGCACAUCUCGUGAUCAGCUUAUUUAGCCCGAUAAGUCAGCUAAUUUAGCUUACUCGGUGAAUUUUUACUUGAUCGGGAUUUGACAAGAACAACAGAAAAAGUACAGUUUAUAGAAUAACUUUCUCACUGGACAACACCGGAAUUAUAUUUACAUUUUCAGAUUUCAGAUUAAUUGAAUGUAUAUAUCUUGACUUGUCGUUAUAGGGUAUCAAAAAAAAUAUCUUCAUUUCAUAGAGAAAAAGUCAACACAGUAUGCAGUUUCAAAUAUUUAUUUAUUUAUUUAUUUAUUUAUUUAUAUAUUUAUUGAAUGGUAUAUAUCACUAUUGGUUCAUUUUGCAGGUACAGUCUUUGCCUCAAUCACCUCACAUAGAGUAAGAGUGGUCAACAUUGUCUCCCCUGGAUGUGGAUGGCCUUGGAUCUAGCUGACCUUUGCUGUAGUCCGAUGUAGUGGUUGGUUAUCUGGUAGUGAUGCAGGAACUUGGACCUCUGCCACCAGGAGUUUGAGUCGGAACCAGAGCAUACGUAGGAAUGACGGGCACACUUAGAGCAGUCUCCAUCAUAACAAGCCACAGUCGCAUCCAGGACACUUGGUCAGUGUCGGUGUUUGGUUUCGGUCGUAGCAGCCGUGGAGCUCUGGAGAAUCCCUCACAGUCAGGGGUGGUUAGUGUUGAGCCGUCUGCAGACAUCUUGGUCACCAGAGAGAACUCGUCAGUGUUCAUCCAUGAAGUGGAAGGCUGUAU